rnacentral:rRNA from 1 species
UACGUAGGGGGCAAGCGUUGUCCGGAUUCAUUGGGCGUAAAGAGCGUGUAGGCGGCCAGGUAGGUCGGUUGUGAAAACUGGAGGCUCAACCUUCAGAGGUCGACCGAAACCAUCUGGCUAGAGUCCGGGAGAGGAGAGUGGAAUUCCUGGUGUAGCGGUGAAAUGCGCAGAUAUCAGGAAGAACACCCGUGGCGAAAGCGGCUCUCUGGAACGGUACUGGCGCUGAGACGCGAAAGCGUGGGGAGCGAACGGG